rnacentral:rRNA from 1 species
AGAGCGAACGCUGGCGGCAGGCUUAACACAUGCAAGUCGAGCGGGCGUAGCAAUACGUCAGCGGCAGACGGGUGAGUAACGCGUGGGAACAUACCUUUUGGUUCGGAACAACCCAGGGAAACUUGGGCUAAUACCGGAUAAGCCCUUACGGGGAAAGAUUUAUCGCCGAAAGAUUGGCCCGCGUCUGAUUAGCUAGUUGGUGAGGUAACGGCUCACCAAGGCGACGACCAGUAGCUGGUCUGAGAGGAUGAUCAGCCACAUUGGGACUGAGACACGGCCCAAACUCCUACGGGAGGCAGCAGUGGGGAAUAUUGGACAAUGGGCGCAAGCCUGAUCCAGCCAUGCCGCGUGAGUGAUGAAGGCCCUAGGGUUGUAAAGCUCUUUUGUGCGGGAAGAUAAUGACGGUACCGCAAGAAUAAGCCCGGCUAACUUCGCGCCAGCAGCCGC